AUGAGAAGCUCCAGGUCACUGUCAACCUCGCCUAAAAGGAGUCAUCAACGAUCCUCAGAGAAAUUCCAGCGCAAACGGUCUAGAAGCAAAUCUAGAUCUCGUUCUAGGUCUCCGAGAAGUUUUUCCAAAAAGCAUUACAAAGACCCCUCUCCAAACUUCAGGAAUCAAUCCUCAAGCAAAAUUCAGUCUCAUGGCUCAAAUUCAUCCUCACACAGAGUCUCCCAAAAAUCUAGUGGAAACGAUGCUGCUAAAGUUCCCUCAACCAGUUCAUCUUCCCAACAUCCAGCUGCUCCAGUAAUUACCAGGUACUAUGGACGGCAUAAGAAAGAUUCCGAUUCUUCCGAAUUAGAAGUAUCCUCUGAAGAUGAAAACAAUACUUCGGCAAAUAAAUCAACUUCACAUCAGUCAGUUUCGUUUGGUAAUUCGAGAGGAAGAUCCAAAGGUCAAUCAUCGUUGCGGGCUGAUUCGAGUAGUUCAAAAUUAACACCGCAAGAACGCCUCAAAAAGAAAAUGCAAGCACUGUUGAAUCGUCAAUGUCAGUAUUCUGAUUUUAUCUCAGUUUGA
rnacentral:lncRNA from 1 species